rnacentral:rRNA from 1 species
UACAGAGGGUGCAAGCGUUGUUCGGAAUUAUUGGGCGUAAAGGGAGUGUAGGCGGCUAGGAAAGUCUUCUGUGAAAUCUACGGGCUCAGCCUGUAACGUGCAGAGGAAACUAUCUGGCUAGAGUGUCGGAGAGGAUAGGGGAAUACCCAGUGUAGAGGUGAAAUUCGUAGAGAUUGGGUGGAACACCAGUGGCGAAGGCGCCUGUCUGGCUGACAACUGACGCUGAGGCGCGAAAGCGUGGGGAGCAAACAGG